GCAAGCGUUACCAUAGCAACCCUGCUGCAGAGUCUGUGAGAGGCUCUUGGCCUCUACCUGGUCUGUGGAAAAUCAAACUCUGGGCACAAGUCAUGAAGCCAGCACGUUGGGGAGACACCGUGUCACAGUGACAAGCUCGGUUUCCCUCCAGAGCAUCACGCCUCCUCCAGCACAGGAGCCGCCUGCUUUCCUGGGCUGCUGUGGAACUGGCCUGAGGUCCCAGACGCUGUCCAUUGUGCUGCCGCCCUCCGCGCUCUCCAGCCAGAGCGCCAGUUCACCGGCUUUUGGGAGAACUCCGCCGCCUCACCUGCCCGCGGACAAGGUCACAGCUUUGCAGGGGGUUGACAUGGGCUGUGGCUUCCUGGAAAUGUCACCCUCACCAGAGCCUUUUACAUGGAUGGGAAUUUUGAGACAUGAAGGAGGGUAAUUAUUGGUUUACCCAGGAGAUGCUAAGAGCAGAGGAGAAAACCCUAAUUUCCAGGCAUGUGACUUGAGCCAGGGACAGGCUAGCCAGACCCUGAGCCCCCAGUGCCGCCAGAGAGCAGCCUAUUGCCCUGGUUUCUGUGGAAGUCUCUUCAUGCUGCUGGGCCUUAGCCUCAGGGACAGCUCAGUCAGGUGAGGGUGGGGAUGACCCAUGGGCUUCUGGAGCUGGGCUGGUGGUCCUGGAAGGGCCGGCCCAUGCCCCUUGGAGAGGGUCUUUGUGCUGAGGGAUGCCCACAGAGGCCUGGGUACCAGGAACACUGCUGCAGGCAAGGGGCCUUUCUUCCAGAUUUGGCUGGAAGGAAGACUUGGUCAGCUUUUCCACCUUGCAGGGCUGCACCCCAUGGACCUGGGUUCCUGGAGUCCUUGACGGCUUUGUGUGGUCGACUUGUUUUGAUACUGAGGACACCCCUGCUGGCUGUUAAUUUCAGGGCAAGGGAUAUGAGGCCAUUAUUUUAAGUGAAAUAACUCAAGAAUGGAAAAUAAAAUACUAUUAUUUUUCACUUAUAA